rnacentral:rRNA from 1 species
GGAUUCUUUAGUAGCUGCGAGCGAACAGGAUGAGCCCAGCACUGAAUCCCGUUUACUAAUUUGUAUACAGGGAAAUGUAGUGUUUGGGAGUGUCCAUUUAUCCUAUAAAUGGUAUUGACGAGUCCAAGUCCUUCUUGAAUGGGGCCAUCUACCCAUAGAGGGUGCCAGGCCCGUAGUGACCGUUACCAUUUAUAGGAGGAUAUCUCCUUUGAGUCGGGUUGCUUGAGAGUGCAGCUCUAAGUGGGUGGUAAACUCCAUCUAAGGCUAAAUAUGAACACGAGACCGAUAGCAAACAAGUACCGUGAGGGAAAGUUGAAAAGAACUUUGAAGAGAGAGUUCAAUAGUACGUGAAACCGUUUAGGGGUAAACCUGAGAAACCCAAAUAAUUAUAAAUAAAGAUUCAAACGUUUUAUCAUAAAAUGGCGAGUAAUUUUUUAUGUAUAGGUAUAUAUGCUUUGUAUAUGUAUUAACAUAAUUAUUAUCCGAGCUAUUGAUGAGUACGUGCACUUCUUUAUUUAAUUAAUAUCGCAACUCGUUGAUUGUCGGUUUACGAAUCAGAUAGUUUAGUUCAUAAUUAAUAUUAUUUUGGUUGUGAAACUAUUGAUUUCUAGCCGACUUGGUCGACGAUAUAAAUAUAAUUUGGUGCGUGGCCGCGAUUAUUUAUUUUCGCGUCUAAACUAUGACAAGUGAUUAUAUUAUAAAAUAUAUAAUUACUGUUUGUUAUAGUAUUAUUAGACUGUUAAGCCAUAUUUUGCACACCAGUUAGCGAUGCUAUAGCUUUGGGUAAUUUCAGGACCCGUCUUGAAACACGGACCAAGGAGUCUAGCAUGUGCGCAAGUCAUUGGGAUAAAAAUAAACCCAUAGGCACAAUGAAAGUGAAGAUUAAUUUUUUACAUUAAUUAAGGGAAGAUGAUAGAUACAACGUUUAUCUAUUCGCACUCCCAGGGCGUUUCAUUCUAAUUUUAUUGGAAGAGGCGCACCCAGAGCGUAUACGCUGGGACCCGAAAGAUG